rnacentral:rRNA from 1 species
UGGGGAAUAUUGCGCAAUGGGCGAAAGCCUGACGCAGCAACGCCGUGUGAGGGAUGAAGGCUUUCGGGUCGUAAACCUCUGUCGGAAGGGAAGAACGGGCAUUGGUCUAAUAGGCCUUUGUUUUGACGGUACCUUUAGAGGAAGCACCGGCUAACUCCGUGCCAGCAGCCGCGGUAAUACGGAGGGUGCAAGCGUUAUUCGGAAUUACUGGGCGUAAAGCGCACGUAGGCGGCUUCGUAAGUCAGGGGUGAAAUCCCACGGCUCAACCGUGGAACUGCCUUUGAAACUGCAAAGCUUGAAUCCUGGAGAGGGUGGCGGAAUUCCUGGUGUAGGAGUGAAAUCCGUAGAUAUCAGGAGGAACACCGGUGGCGAAGGCGGCCACCUGGACAGGUAUUGACGCUGAGGUGCGAAAGUGUGGGGAGCAAACAG